rnacentral:lncRNA from 10 species
CUCAGCAGCCAUGAGUUUUGAGUAUACGCCAGUGCUGUGCCUGUCUUAGCAGCCAAAAUAUUGUUCAGUCCAGCAUUGUUCCAGUUAUGAUGGUCUUGGGUUUAGGGCUUCCACUAGCUAGCACUACAAGAAAUGCAGUGGUCAGGGCUUAGGGACAACACUAGAUGACCUACUCAGAAUCUCAGAAUGGGCUUACUAUUGAAGGAUGUUCCUCAACAAACCUAGAGUGCAAAGAAUGGAGCAAGUACCUACUUCUUCAAUGUGCAAGGAUAAACACGUGACAAGGAUUUAGAACAAUCAAGAAGACAUGACAUCAUCAAAUGGACAAAAUAAGUGGGAGAUUAAGACACAAGACAACACACAAACUGAGGGGAAACCAUAUGUGAACACAGGAAAGAAGACAGCCAUCUUCAAGGCAAAAAAGAGUCCUCAGGAGAAACUGUAUCAGCAGACACCUUGAUCAUGGACUUCUGGGCUUCAAAAUUAUGCCUGUGCCAGUUUCUACCUCAUCCCCACAAACAAAGUUAUAAAGCAAGACCAGAU